UGCCCAAGAGAUCGGGAUAACACCUGGAAACAGAUGCUAAUACCGGAUAACAACAGAUGAUGCCUAUCAACUGUUUAAAAGAUGGUUCUGCUAUCACUCUUGGAUAGACCUGCGGUGCAUUAGCUAGUUGGUAGGGUAACGGCCUACCAAGGCGAUGAUGCAUAGCCGAGUUGAGAGACUGAUCGGCCACAUUGGGACUGAGACACGGCCCAAACUCCUACGGGAGGCAGCAGCA
rnacentral:rRNA from 1 species